rnacentral:tRNA from 1 species
GCGGGAGUAGUUCAGAGGUAGAACACCACCUUGCCAAGGUGGGGGUCGCGGGUUCAAAUCCCGUCUCCCGCU